rnacentral:rRNA from 1 species
AUAUUGGACAAUGGGGGCAACCCUGAUCCAGCCAUGCCGCGUGAGUGAUGAAGGCCCUAGGGUUGUAAAGCUCUUUUGUGCGGGAAGAUAAUGACGGUACCGCAAGAAUAAGCCCCGGCUAACUUCGUGCCAGCAGCCGCGGUAAUACGAAGGGGGCUAGCGUUGCUCGGAAUCACUGGGCGUAAAGGGUGCGUAGGCGGGUCUUUAAGUCAGGGGUGAAAUCCUGGAGCUCAACUCCAGAACUGCCUUUGAUACUGAAGAUCUUGAGUAUGGGAGAGGUGAGUGGAACUGCGAGUGUAGAGGUGAAAUUCGUAGAUAUUCGCAAGAACACCAGUGGCGAAGGCGGCUCACUGGCCCAUAACUGACGCUGAGGCACGAAAGCGUGGGGAGCAAACAGG